rnacentral:rRNA from 1 species
UACGAAGGGGGCUAGCGUUGCUCGGAAUCACUGGGCGUAAAGGGUGCGUAGGCGGGUCUUUAAGUCAGGGGUGAAAUCCUGGAGCUCAACUCCAGAACUGCCUUUGAUACUGGCGAUCUCGAGUUCGGGAGAGGUGAGUGGAACUGCGAGUGUAGAGGUGAAAUUCGUAGAUAUUCGCAAGAACACCAGUGGCGAAGGCGGCUCACUGGCCCGAUACUGACGCUGAGGUGCGAAAGCGUGGGGAGCAAACAGG